AGUGAACGCUGGCGGUAGGCCUAACACAUGCAAGUCGAACGGCAGCACAGUAAGAGCUUGCUCUUACGGGUGGCGAGUGGCGGACGGGUGAGGAAUAAAUCGGAAUCUACUUUUUCGUGGGGGAUAACGUAGGGAAACUUACGCUAAUACCGCAUACGACCUACGGGUGAAAGCAGGGGAUCUUCAGACCUUGCGCGAUUGAAUGAGCCGAUGUCGGAUUAGCUAGUUGGCGGGGUAAAGGCCCACCAAGGCGACGAUCCGUAGCUGGUCUGAGAGGAUGAUCAGCCACACUGGAACUGAGACACGGUCCAGACUCCUACGGGAGGCAGCAGUGGGGAAUAUUGGACAAUGGGCGCAAGCCUGAUCCAGCCAUACCGCGUGGGUGAAGAAGGCCUUCGGGUUGUAAAGCCCUUUUGUUGGGAAAGAAAAGCAGCAGGUUAAUACCCCGCUGUUCUGACGGUACCCAAAGAAUAAGCACCGGCUAACUUCGUG
rnacentral:rRNA from 1 species